GAGGGCUUGUCUGGACUUGUUCAGGCCUGAGCCUGCCUUUGUCUCUGCGAUCCCAGGGAUCCCAGUGGAUCAAAGAGGAUCUGCCUGUGCAGUCUGCAGCUGCUUUGCCGAUGAGACCUCCUUGAGAGACCCCAGCAGCAGUCUGUUGAGCCGGAGCCCUCCUGUCUGUCCAGCUGCGAGGUCGGCCUGCAGGAGUGGUGGCAGGGAGCGGGGUGGAGUCGCAGCUCUAUCAAGAAAGCAGGAACUGGCUGAGUUUGCAGAGUCUGAACGAUGAAGCAGGUGUCUACACGCUCUGGAGCCUGUCCUCAGCUUGCUUGAGCUGUAUCAAACCCAGCAGCAGAAAGUCGGGGUCCCCUGGGAGCUUAGAUGGACUCUGGGUACCACUGCCAGCUGGAUCAUCUCCUACCGCACAACUGGAAGACACUGAUAAAGCACAGAUCUGCAUCUAACCACUGCACUAACACAGGAUGGAUGUGAGCUGGUGUGAUUUGUGCAGACUGGGUCACAUCUCUUCAGGAAAAGCACCCCAAGGACCAGUGUGAAGCGAAACGCAUCAUGUGUUAGCUUUUCUCUACAGGGAAAAUUGCCUUUCUGGGGCAAACUCUGAGCCUUUAACUGGCAAAUUCAAUUACACAUGCACAACCAUGUAAACUUCAAGUGGCACCUCUGGCCUUUACUCAGGGAUGCUAAUACACAUGAUGGUGUCAUUGAUGGAUUUUGUCAAAGUUCCCUAAUACAGGAUGCUUUUCAUAAAUGCCCAAUGGUGGUAAAUUUACCAGGUACUUGAGCUUUAAGGGAGGAGAAAAGGAUUUGCUGUUAGACAAGCUGCUGACAUGAAAACAGCUUAUUGGCCAGCACCUUUGCAGAGGUCUCUCGUAACUCUAAACUAGCUCAACUGUUGGUUUCCCUGUAAGACUUGAGAGCUGUUCCCAAGUCAGUCAUCCCUAGAAAUGCAGCUUCUGACCACCUUGAAGUAAGAGCAAUCUCAAGACCUGGAUAACUGUCUACUGUAUUGCAAAUACUUGCUUUCUCUGCAGCCACAGCAGUGAGAAAUCAGUUAAAUGAUUCUAGGUCUCUGAAGAGGGAAUGCCUUUCUCUCCUUUAGCUUUUGCUGCUUAGCUUUUGAA